GAAAGGGAGAAAGAAAAGAGAAGCAGGGAGUGGCUAUGGGCCUUUUCUAGCUGAGUCGACUCGGUGGAUUUCCCUCGAGUUGUCGAGUUCUGGUGAACUUAGCCGAAUCCAGUUAUAUCAGCUUGGUAGUGAAAUUCGACUCCACGCUUGGACCCCGUUAUUUCAUCCGAGUUGCCCUUUGCAAGAUAGAUCCAAGUUGAGUGACUCGCUUGGAUAGGACUCAACUCUGAGGGUGCACGCGCUUCCUAGCAACGUCAGUUAACAAUUCAAGUAAAAGGUAGUACAGGUGGCUUAAGUGAUAUGCAUGUUUAGACUUGAUAAGGAGCAGGGUACGAUCACCAAGAAUGCUUGACUGUAUGCUUGGAGGAGCUGUGUGAUCUUGCGGCUUAUAUUUAUAUGCUUUAUAUUAUUUCUUAUGUAUUAGAUCAUGUAAUUCUUGUAUUUGUUAAUUUUGAAGACAUUAGUUUGUAUAAGUCAUUAUGGGCAUAUUUGAAUGAUAAUGAAAUUUUUCUUUAUGUCGA